CUUUAAUUCAAUGAGGUAAGUGUUUUCUUAGAUUCCAGAAACCAAAGCAGCUUUUAAACCAGGAAGUUGACAUAAUUCGCUUUGAGUUCUGUCCUGAAAAGACAAUUUGUCCGCUUUGGCUCUACUUCCUUAGUCAGUGGAUUAAACAGGAUAACAAAUAUAUUUAUUUUGUAUUGCAAAACUAUUUCUUUGUAUUGCAAAUAAAUUUAUCCAAAAGAAUACAAAGCCACCGUUCCUUCAAAAGCAGUGGUGGGCAGGAGGCUCCGGACUGUGUGACAGGCAAGAGUUUGUGUUUGCUUAGUCCUGUAUUGACUGUAAGCCCAUCUUCCUCUCUCUGUCCUCCCUCCUGUUCCAGUUUACCUGGGGUGAGGAAGCAGUAGCUGCUGCCAAGCUUUCUGCAGAAGAGGUUACAGCAGGAGAAUGACACAGCACUUUAAGGACUCUAGAGAAACAAAGAAACCUCUGCUUCCUUUGUAGAGCACAGGAGAGGAAUGAAGGGAUGAAAAGAGUUGGCAUGCGAGACGGGUAAGAUGGAGCCCCCAAUCUCACAGGAGCUUUUGAUCUACACGGGGACAAGAGAGAUGUGAACAAACAUAACACAGACAGUGGAAGAAGUGGAGCUUUAAGGAAGCUGGAGCCAAGGUUGAAUGCAGGUGCUUUGAUCUGGACUGUUUUGCUGAAAGGUUUCCAGUUGCCUAUGGUGGUAGUAAGAAGAUGCUAAAAUAACUAACUAAAUAAAAGCCAUAGAUCAUUUAAGUCAUCAAAUCUCAACCAGGCCAAUCAAAACAACCAUAAAGACACAUCGAGAUGAAACUUCAAAUACUGUGGCACAGCUGUGGACUACGAAGAAACAAAGAACUAAACUCAGAUCAGAACAGUUGUUAAAAUAGAAUAAUAUGUCUGUGUCUCGGAGACUAAAAUACGCCUGGCACCAACAGAAGUACUGAGUAUUGAAAGUUGAGACAAGUCACUCAUGACUUUUAUGGACUGGUGGUGAAGACAGGCAGUGAUUGAUACAUUACGAAGUGGUCAGAUUCAGAACAGAAUUACUCACAGAAUUCUACGGAAAGACAGAAGAUAGAGCCCUAAAUCCAGCCUGAAAGAAUCAUGACAAACUUCCUAGAAGACACCUGGGCUGAAUCUUAAAGGAAUGACCUAAUUGUCAAGAGGGUAACAUGUUUUGAGAGUUGCCAUUGGAAUAGAAGUCCCUAAGCUUCCUUGGCUUGUCAGCCUCAUUCCCUUCUGUCCGGCUUUCUCCUCAGCCACAUAACAUCACUCUCCCACCCAAUUUUUAAGUUCAUAUUUUUUUAAAUAGGCAAAGAUUUCUCUCCUUUAGGCAACCACUUGAAAACACCUAGUAAAAAAUUCUGAUUUGCCUGGCUUGAAUUUCCUUGGAAAUACUUAGUCCAAUCAUUUUGGCUGAGGUAAUGGUGUUUUCUGAUUGGUCUAGUUUGACUCAUCCAAUCUGCCUGGAAUGCUGGUUAUCUAAGCAACUUCUAUUUAAAACCUACAGAAGGAGAAAAGCAUUUAACAGAUGAUGCAGAAAAGACUGUUGAUCAGAUUGAAUAGUUGACACUUCUAGGGACUAUCAUUCAACCUACCAGUAGCAAAAAGGAAUUACCACUCUGUGGAUACAUUUCAGGUCAUGCUUGCCUAAUGAAAGACUGUAAGUCAAAAAGAAAUAAACAUUUGCUGAGUUACAUUUUGGGCCAACCCUUUGGGAGGUGCUUUUCUUUCACUAUCUCAUAAAGCUUCUCACUACAACCUUUAGAGACAGGUACUAUUUUAAGUAUGAGGAACGUAGAGGUUAAGUAACUCUUAGAAGAUCAUAUGGAUUUGGAAAUCACAGAGAUUUAAUUCGUUUUUAAUUAGCAUUCCAUCUUCCUCCCACUGUACCAUGUGGGAUCUUUGGAAAACAAUAUUUGUAGCACAAUGCAUCAUCUUCCAAAUGAACAGAGGUGUGCAGAUAAAUAGGAGCUUCGUUUUGUUUUAUUUUUUUGCUGACUUUAUGAUAAGAUGGUUUUCUUUCUUCAAAUUUUAAUGUGCUGCGUCAGACGAAAAUAUAUAAUGAGUGCUUUGGAUUUUCUGUCUUUUGGGCUGAUUCUGUAAAAUGUGUCACAUCUCUCUUCCUUAGAGAGAGUAAUCAAUGGGGUGCAUUGUGAUUUCCACAUAAUAUCAUCCCCAGGACCAUUUCUCUUUAGGCACACAGUGUAGGGAUGGAAAGGGGAUAGAAGGGGUGCUUGUAAAUUUCUGCAUUCAUAUUGAACAUUUUCCCAAUAGGAUGGUACAGAAAAUGUCAAUAAUUAAUUGGGAAAUAUUUGUUUAUCUUUAUGGAGAGAUUUUGUUAUUAAGCUUAGAUAAAACAUUUUUUGGAAGGGUCAUUGUCCCUGGCUCUCUAACUGUGGACUGGCAGAAUACGGGGUGUGUUGGGUGUGGUGCUGCAAAGACAACGUUUAGAUCAUUUCGUGGGAGGCCAAUCACUACUCCUUAGGGUGCCCUAUUGCUCAUUUCAUUAGCACAGCACAGGGUUCCCUAGGAAUUAUAUUUUUCCCUCUCUCCGGUAAACAUUAAACUUAGUUACAGAGAUGAGCGAGAUGUAUAAAUAGAGGGGAAAAGGUGUUUCUCAUUUUAUUACUCUUUUGUGUAAUAGUAGUAAAAGUUUUGUAGGGAGUAUUGUAUACAGUAAAACAAUCAUUUGUCAAUGGGUAAACUUACUGAACACCAACGUCUGCUUUUAAAAGAUCCCUUGUGUGUCAUGAACUACACAGUGUUCAUAAAAAGUUGUACUCCAGGGUUACAUAUUCUUGUUUCCUCAAUUACUGGAGUUUCCUGAAAUCUCCAAGGAAAGAGGAUUAAACAUUUAUUGUCAGGAAGCACCAGGUUUCACUUCGUCCUGUGCUUUGACACAUUCAUUAUCCCAGACUUUAAAUUUUCGAUUACAGAAUCCAUAAAGUACCACCAACACACACAUACACACACAAAUAAACACAUAAACACACAAACAAUCACAAAAUAGUUAAAAGUGGUGAAUUUUAAAAAGGCAAAAAAAGGGCAAGGACCAGUUUUGAUGACUCUAUUCUUAGUCUCUCAUGUUAGUUUUACCAUUACAGACAGUAUGUCUCCUUGAGGAAUACCUGGGGUUAUAUUUG
rnacentral:lncRNA from 10 species